GAGGGGGUGGUUGGGGAAUGGUGGGAUGGUAACGUGUCCUGUCUUGGACAUGGUGAGUCUGAAGUGUGCAUGGGACAUCCAGAAGGAAGGUCUGGAACCUAGGGCAGAACUUGAGAGUGAUCAGUACACACAGGCUCCAAUCUGAAAACUGCUGGGAGAACAUGUGGCCAAGGACAUGGGUUUCCUUUUUUGGCUCAUACUCUGUGAUGUGAGACCAAAAGUCUCUCCUAAAUGCAGCUGUUGGGCACUUAAACCACCCUCCUAGCACCCUUCCUUACUCACUUCCCUCUUUGACAGUGAAUAGAAGCCACAUAGACUCUUCCGAGGAGUACCCAUGUGUCACUUCUGGGACAGGCAGCCUCACUCCUGCCAGGGCCGUGCAGGGCAGUCCACAGGCCAAAGGUCCAAGUAGAUUCAGCGCUGCUGAGUUGCUUCUGGGAACCCACCAGUCUCCAAGCAACUUGACUUCAUUAUGCAGAUCCAGCAAGACACAGAGACAUUUUUGAAUCCACAAAUAACUUCUAUCUAGGACCAGUGAUGACCCAGCUUCAAGCAUGCAGCAGAUGAGGACAAUGCUCCAGAGGAUGGAGAAGCAACAUGAUACGAGGAAUCUGUGUCCCUGAAUGACCAUUUGGUGCACAGCUGCCCCAAUGACCUGGAU
rnacentral:lncRNA from 10 species